UACGUAGGGUGCGAGCGUUAAUCGGAAUUACUGGGCGUAAAGCGUGCGCAGGCGGUUCGUUGUGUCGGUGGUGAAAUCCCCGGGCUUAACCUGGGAAUGGCCAUGGAAACUGGCGAACUGGAGUGCGGCAGAGGGGGGUGGAAUUCCGCGUGUAGCAGUGAAAUGCGCAGAUAUCAGGAAGAACACCCGUGGCGAAAGCGGCUCUCUGGAACGGUACUGACGCUGAGACGCGAAAGCGUGGGGAGCGAACAGG
rnacentral:rRNA from 1 species